UGAGCCCUCACUCACUUGGGCGGUGAGUCCCAUGUUCGUUGAGGCGCGUACGCCUACCUUACCCCAAACAAGCCUCCCCUCUCUUACCUCCAUUUACCAGAAACCAGAAUACAAAACCAGUGGACAUGUCAACUACCAUUUCCACGCCUUCUUCUUCCUCAUAAGCUCUCGAACCAAACCUCUUAACCUCCAACCCACAAUAAAUUAUCACUAUUAUUAUAAAUAAAUACAAUCAAAUUAUAAAUUUAGUAUUUCCUUUGUUAUUAGUUUUUGUUGUUGUCGUUGCUUAAGAAUAAUUAGAGGCCAAUUAGUCGUUGAGCUUUCACUUUCUCCAUUGAUCGGCUGAUAACUUCCUCCAAUGCUUGACUCCAAUUGAAGCAAAACCCCCCUUCUAUCUCUCUCAUUACCUCUGUACUCCAAUGGGUCUCUUGUUUUUCUCUUCGAUUUUUCGAUUUCUUUCCCAACACAGAGGCUUGGCGGUGGCGGUGGCGGUGGAAAUUCGGAAUUGAAUUUCGGGUAUGGGAUUGAUGGGUUUUGAUUCGGGGGUCGUGCGGAAUUUGGGGUCUUUGUGGUCUCGGCGGAGCAAGCUGUACCGGGUUUUAUUCUGGGUUUGGGUCACUUUUGUGCUUUUUCAGCCGGUGGCCGGUCUUAGACCCUUGCGGGAACGGGCUCGAUCAUGGGGCGAUGAGUGGCUAUUUGUAAGAAAAGAUGAAAUUGAUUUGGGACCAUUUUCUACGUGGAAUAUAACAGGAACUUACAGAGGGAUUUGGAAGUUUCCUGAUUCUAGAAAUAGCUCUUCCAGAUUUCCGGAUUUUAGGAAUUCCCAUGGCGACACUAUCAUUGAAUUAGUUAGCACGCAGACAAAAAUAACUGGCGUACAUUACGUGCAGGGGGUUAUUAUUUUCCAUGAUGUGUUUGACAAUGAACACAAUGUUGGUGGUAUUCAAAUCAGGGUGGAGGGUGUAUUUAUAUGGCCAUUUAGACAACUUCGAAUGGUAGCUAACAGUGGAAAAGAGGGAGAGUCAAGCCAAGAAGAAGAAUAUUUAUUGUCAAAUCCGUAUCAUAUGCUUGGAGUUUUCUCUUCCCAGGUUUUCCAAGAAUCUCCUCAAGAUAAGAUAUGGAGGAAAAAGCAUUCUCCAAUUUAUGAAAUGGAGAAACACUGUAAUAUAGAAAUCGCAGGCCAAAUUUCACGUGUCUCGUCAGCCCAUAAUGAUGGAGAUCGUGAUCGAUACCAUAUAGAAUCGUUGAUGGAGAGUCCUGCAGUGGAUGAUGAUGGUGAUUGCUUCGCUCCCUUUAUAUUAAAUGCUACUUCUGUCAAUGUGGAGGUGUACUACAACAAAGCAGUGAACUAUACUUUGAUGGUCACCUUUGUCUCUUUUCUCCAAGUUCUUCUCUUAAUUCGGCAAAUGGAGCACAGCAACACUCAGUCAGGGGCUGCCAAAGUUUCGAUUUUAAUGAUUGGCCAACAGGCUAUCAUGGAUUCUUAUCUCUGCCUUCUGCAUUUGACUGCAGGAAUACUUGUUGAAUCCUUAUUUAAUGCUUUUGCAACUGCCGCUUUUUUCAAGUUUGUGGUAUUCUCAAUAUUUGAGAUGAGAUAUCUUCUUGCUAUAUGGAAAGCUAGUAGGCCUACAAAUAAUGGGGAAGGUUGGGAGACGAUGAGGCGUGAGCUUUCAGUUCUGUAUAGCCGUUUCUAUGGGAUCCUUUUGGGAGGCAUUCUGCUCAUGUACGAGUUCCAUAACUUCCUGAGGCCUAUUCUUCUCCUUAUGUACUCCUUUUGGAUACCUCAAAUAAUCACCAAUGUUAUUCGUGAUUCAAGAAAACCUUUGCAUCCUCAUUACAUCUUGGGCAUGACUGUUAUGCGACUUGCAGUCCCAUUAUACAUAUUUGGUUGCCCUAACAACUUCAUGCGCAUUGAGCCUGACAAGAGUUGGUGUAUUUGUCUGGGUGUAUUUAUUGGACUGCAAGCAUCCAUUCUUCUUCUUCAGCACUAUCUCGGCUCUAGGUGGUUCAUUCCUCGUCAGAUUCUACCUGAAAAAUAUAGCUACUAUAGAAGGUUCGAUCAGAAUACAAAUCACACCACAGAUUGUGUCAUUUGCAUGACUGCAGUUGAUCUCACACAACGUUCGACUGAUUGCAUGGUGACACCAUGUGAACAUUGCUUUCACUCUGGUUGUUUACAAAGGUGGAUGGAUAUAAAGAUGGAGUGCCCAACUUGUCGGCGUUCACUGCCACCAGCCUGAUCCUUCCACUCUGCCUAUAUACGUAUAGGAUCAACUAACAUCGCCCAACUCGCUAAUUUUGGUUGGGCAUUAAAUCGAUUUUCAGGUUGAGCGCACCUUCCGAAGGAAGAAGGAUGAGACACAACAUAAUCUACCAGUUUCCAAAAUUGUAACAGAUUCUGCAUUGUUGUUACUUUAGCCAACAAUUUUUAAUUUUUAGCUCUUACUUUUUUUGGCUUUGUUGUAAAAUGUAUAUGUAGGAAGCAAAUCUAUAGGUGCAAAUUCUUGUCAAUUCCAUCAAUAGUUGGUUCCCACUUCCCACUGCA